rnacentral:rRNA from 1 species
CAUUCUCAGUUCGGAUUGUAGGCUGAAACUCGCCUACAUGAAGCUGGAGUUACUAGUAAUCGCAGAUCAGAAUGCUGCGGUGAAUGCGUUCCCGGGUCUUGUACACACCGCCCGUCACACCACGGAAGUUGGGGGCGCCCGAAGCCACUUAGCUAACCCUUUUGGGAAGCGAGUGUCGAAGGUGAAAUCAAUAACUGGGGUGAAGUCGUAACAAGGUACC